UUGGCAGAUUGGACGGUCGCGGGCACAAGGAGCAAUCCUGUGCGUGAGGAAAGUCCGAGCUCCGCAGGGCAGGGUGCAAGGUAACCCCUUGUGAAGGCAACUUCAAGGAAAGUGCAACAGAAAUAUACCGCCAAAGCUUUUUGGUAAGGGUGAAAUGGUGAGGUAAGAGCUCACCCACAGUCUGGCGACUGGCUUGUGAUGUAAACCCCACUCGGAGCAACACCUGAUUAGGAGGCAAAGCUUGCCCGGCAUCUCCGUGGAAGGUGGCUAGAGCCUUGCAGUGAUGCAAGGUUUAGAUAGAUGAUCGUCUUAAAUGACAGAACUCGGCUUACAGAUCUGCCAUAUUU
rnacentral:RNase_P_RNA from 1 species